rnacentral:rRNA from 1 species
UAGGGAAUCUUCCGCAAUGGGCGAAAGCCUGACGGAGCAACGCCGCGUGAGUGAUGAAGGUCUUCGGAUCGUAAAACUCUGUUAUUAGGGAAGAACAAAUGUGUAAGUAACUAUGCACGUCUUGACGGUACCUAAUCAGAAAGCCACGGCUAACUACGUGCCAGCAGCCGCGGUAAUACGUAGGUGGCAAGCGUUAUCCGGAAUUAUUGGGCGUAAAGCGCGCGUAGGCGGUUUUUUAAGUCUGAUGUGAAAGCCCACGGCUCAACCGUGGAGGGUCAUUGGAAACUGGAAAACUUGAGUGCAGAAGAGGAAAGUGGAAUUCCCUGUGUAGCGGUGAAAUGCGCAGAGAUAUGGAGGAACACCAGUGGCGAAGGCGACUUUCUGGUCUGUAACUGACGCUGCUGUGCGAAAGCGUGGGGAUCAAACAGG